AAUGAGAGUUUGAUCCUGGCUCAGGACGAACGCUGGCGGCGUGCCUAAUACAUGCAAGUAGAACGCACAGGAUACACCGUAGUUUACUACACCGUAUUCUGUGAGUUGCGAACGGGUGAGUAACGCGUAGGUAACCUGCCUGGUAGCGGGGGAUAACUAUUGGAAACGAUAGCUAAUACCGCAUAAGAACAUUUACUGCAUGGUAGAUGUUUAAAAGGUGCAAAUGCAUCACUACCAGAUGGACCUGCGUUGUAUUAGCUAGUAGGUGAGGUAACGGCUCACCUAGGCGACGAUACAUAGCCGACCUGAGAGGGUGAUCGGCCACACUGGGACUGAGACACGGCCCAGACUCCUACGGGAGGCAGCAGUAGGGAAUCUUCGGCAAUGGGGGGAACCCUGACCGAGCAACGCCGCGUGAGUGAAGAAGGUUUUCGGAUCGUAAAGCUCUGUUGUUAAGGAAGAACGAGUGUGAGAAUGGAAAGUUCAUACUGUGACGGUACUUAACCAGAAAGGGACGGCUAACUACGUGCCAGCAGCCGCGGUAAUACGUAGGUCCCGAGCGUUGUCCGGAUUUAUUGGGCGUAAAGCGAGCGCAGGCGGUUAGAUAAGUCUGAAGUUAAAGGCAGUGGCUCAACCAUUGUAGGCUUUGGAAACUGUUUAACUUGAGUGCAGAAGGGGAGAGUGGAAUUCCAUGUGUAGCGGUGAAAUGCGUAGAUAUAUGGAGGAACACCGGUGGCGAAAGCGGCUCUCUGGUCUGUAACUGACGCUGAGGCUCGAAAGCGUGGGGAGCGAACAGGAUUAGAUACCCUGGUAGUCCACGCCGUAAACGAUGAGUGCUAGGUGUUAGGUCCUUUCCGGGACUUAGUGCCGCAGCUAACGCAUUAAGCACUCCGCCUGGGGAGUACGACCGCAAGGUUGAAACUCAAAGGAAUUGACGGGGGCCCGCACAAGCGGUGGAGCAUGUGGUUUAAUUCGAAGCAACGCGAAGAACCUUACCAGGUCUUGACAUCCUGAUGCCCGCUCUAGAGAUAGAGCUUUACUUCGGUACAUCGGUGACAGGUGGUGCAUGGUUGUCGUCAGCUCGUGUCGUGAGAUGUUGGGUUAAGUCCCGCAACGAGCGCAACCCUUAUUGUUAGUU
rnacentral:rRNA from 1 species